AGGGGCCAGAGCAAGCAGGCUGACAGUCCAGAGGAUGAAGUUCAAUAUGCCUCCAUCACUGUUGCACGAAAUUCCAAGCCGGCUUGCCCACCACAAGAUACGGGACCGACCUAUGCAGCCAUUGCACCACGGAGGAACCAGCGUCGCUAAGGCAUGGCAAGCUGGUAGCAGGAGCACAGGGGAGAUGGGCUCGUCGGUGGAAGGCCCUGGUUUGUCUGUGGUCCUCUGCCAGGCUUGUGCACCCAGCAACAUCCCUGCACGUCUCCGCUGGAGGAGCAUUUCAUCCGUACCCACUCCCUGCUCCACUUUCUUCCUCCUUGUCCCUGCCUCCAUCCACGAGCAAACCCCACAUCUUCUGCUCCAGUGAGAGGUUUCCCCACCAACGUUUUGCAUAUGUGAAUGGAAUUCUGAGAUGGCCUUAGAAACCCCACUUUUCUUUUUUUAAAGCAUAUUUUUUGCAGGAUAUGGUUGACCUUCUCCCUACUGGCAUAUCGGCUAGAAGCGGUGGGACAUUAAAAUCCAGAACAGAGAUGCUCACACAACCCUGUGAUAACAGGCCCGGGCUAGAGGGAGGACAUCAAAUCUUGAAGACAUACAGCAAAAUUAGAAACCUCAGCAACACUGGGGCUGAUUGCAUCGUGGCACCACCUUUGACCGCCCUGUGACCCAGCUCUGCAGCUUCGGGAAUGCUGUUUAUUUUACGUAUCCCUUUUAACAAGUCUUUAUAGACAGCAUUGCCCAUCGUUGAUUGAUCCUAGAGGGAGCAUCGACGUCCCAUCCCAUAUGCAGGUACCAAAACUGAGCCCUCUUCUUUUCUGCAACUGAACCCUCUCCCUUUGGGACUCUACCCAGACGAUGUGACUCUGGACUGGGGGGAAACACCAGCUCUGUGAGGUGUUUGCAGGAGCUGCCCACCCUGGGCAACACAACUGCUGUUAUUGCUUGGUGUGUGCUAAGCGCUUGUGGUCAUGGCAGCUCCGGAGGGAUUGUGGGGACCAAUACGGUUUGUCUCGGACCAGCUGAAAACUGCAGAGCACUGGGAUUUCAUCCUCAGCAGGCUGGUUUAGUCUCCUGUCCUUGGGAUUCAUUUCUACCCUCUCACAAGGCGGGGAAACACUAAUCCCAGCCUGUACCUUUCCCUCUCUCCGUUGCUAAACUUUCACUUUGGCCCAGGAAUUUCAUUUCCCUAUUUCUGUGAUCACAAACAAACCUUGCCUGUGCAUGGUGCCAUUGAAA